CCUUCGGGUUGUAAACCUCUUUCAGUAGGGAAGAAGCGUAAGUGACGGUACCUGCAGAAGAAGCGCCGGCUAACUACGUGCCAGCAGCCGCGGUAAUACGUAGGGCGCAAGCGUUAUCCGGAAUUAUUGGGCGUAAAGAGCUCGUAGGCGGUUUGUCGCGUCUGCCGUGAAAGUCCGGGGCUUAACUCCGGAUCUGCGGUGGGUACGGGCAGACUUGAGUGAUGUAGGGGAGACUGGAAUUCCUGGUGUAGCGGUGAAAUGCGCAGAUAUCAGGAGGAACACCGAUGGCGAAGGCAGGUCUCUGGGCAUUAACUGACGCUGAGGAGCGAAAGCAUGGGGAGCGAACAGGAUUAGAUACCCUGGUAGUCCAUGCCGUAAACGUUGGGCACUAGGUGUGGGGGACAUUCCACGUUUUCCGCGCCGUAGCUAACGCAUUAAGUGCCCCGCCUGGGGAGUACGGCCGCAAGGCUAAAACUCAAAGGAAUUGACGGGGGCCCGCACAAGCGGCGGAGCAUGCGGAUUAAUUCGAUGCAACGCGAAGAACCUUACCAAGGCUUGACAUGAACCGGAACGGCGCAGAGAUGUGUCGGCCACUUGUGGCCGGUUUACAGGUGGUGCAUGGUUGUCGUCAGCUCGUGUCGUGAGAUGUUGGGUUAAGUCCCGCAACGAGCGCAACCCUCGUUCCAUGUUGCCAGCGGGUUAUGCCGGGGACUCAUGGGAGACUGCCGGGGUCAACUCGGAGGAAGGUGGGGACGACGUCAAAUCAUCAUGCCCCUUAUGUCUUGGGCUUCACGCAUGCUACAAUGGCCGGUACAAAGGGUUGCGAUGCUGUGAGGUGGAGCUAAUCCCAAAAAGCCGGUCUCAGUUCGGAUUGAGGUCUGCAACUCGACCUCAUGAAGUCGGAGUCGCUAGUAAUCGCAGAUCAGCAACGCUGCGGUGAAUACGUUCCCGGGCCUUGUACACACCGCCCGUCAAGUCACGAAAGUUGGUAACACCCGAAGCCGGUGGCCUAACCCGAAAGGGG
rnacentral:rRNA from 1 species